UACAGAGGUCCCAAGCGUUGUUCGGAUUCACUGGGCGUAAAGGGUGCGUAGGCGGUCGGGUAAGUUUGAUGUGAAAUCUCUGGGCUUAACCCAGAAAUGGCAUUGAAUACUAUUCGGCUAGAGAGUCGGAGGGGGGACUGGAAUACUUGGUGUAGCAGUGAAAUGCGUAGAUAUCAAGUGGAACACCAGUGGCGAAGGCGAGUCCCUGGACAACACCUGACACUGAGGCACGAAAGCUAGGGGAGCAAACAGG
rnacentral:rRNA from 1 species